CCAAUAGCGUAUAUUAAAGUUGUUGCAGUUAAAAAGCUCGUAGUUGAACCUUAGGCCCGCGCGGGCGGUCCGUCCUCUGGGCGAGCACUGCUCCGUCGCGGGUCUCACCUUCUGGCGAGCGUCGAUGCCAUUCGUUUGGUGUCGGCGGGAACCAGGACCUUUACCUUGAAAAAAUUAGAGUGCUCAAAGCGGGCUCCGACGCUUGAAUACAUUAGCAUGGAAUAAUGAAAUAGGACGAGGGUUCUAUUUUGUUGGUUUCCGGGACCGUCGUAAUGAUUAAUAGGGAUAGUUGGGGGCAUUCGUAUUCAAUUGUCAGAGGUGAAAUUCUUGGAUUUAUUGAAGACGGACUACUGCGAAAGCAUUUGCCAAGGAUGUUUUCAUUAAUCAAGAACGAAAGUUGGGGGAUCGAAGACGAUCAGAUACCGUCGUAGUCUCAACCAUAAACUAUGCCGACUGGGAAUCGGGCGAUGUUACUUUCUUGACUCGCUCGGCGCCCCGAG
rnacentral:rRNA from 1 species